rnacentral:rRNA from 1 species
UGGGGAAUAUUGGACAAUGGGGGGAACCCUGAUCCAGCCAUGCCGCGUGUGUGAAGAAGGCCUUAUGGUUGUAAAGCACUUUAAGCGAGGAGGAGGGUACUGGUAUUAAUACUACCAGGUACUGGACGUUACUCGCAGAAUAAGCACCGGCUAACUCUGUGCCAGCAGCCGCGGUAAUACAGAGGGUGCGAGCGUUAAUCGGAUUUACUGGGCGUAAAGCGUGCGUAGGCGGCUAAUUGAGUCGGAUGUGAAAUCCCCGAGCUUAACUUGGGAAUUGCAUUCGAUACUGGUUAGCUAGAGUGUGGGAGAGGAUGGUAGAAUUCCAGGUGUAGCGGAGAAAUGCGUAGAGAUCUGGAGGAAUACCGAUGGAGAAGGCAGCCAUCUGGCCUAACACUGACGCUGAGGUACGAAAGCAUGGGGAGCAAACAGG